CAACCCUCGAUCCCCCCCGGGGCGAUCGGUGUUGGGGGCCGGCGUCCUUACUGCCGCCCCCGAAAUACAGUGGCGGUCUCGCCGCAGCCUCCUCUGCGCAGUAGUUUGCACACUCGCACCGGAGCGCGGCGCGUCCACGCCGUGAAACCACCCAAAUUCUUAAAGG
rnacentral:misc_RNA from 1 species